AGCGUCAGCGUGUGAGGCGCCAGCGCGCGCGGAGGAGGAGCUGGCUGGGUCAGCGUCGACGGCGGCGGCCGUGUGCUCCUACGUGGCACGGCGUGAUGCUGAGUCAGCCAGUGGAGUGGUGCUACUUUUUACUAGGUGUGGAGUGGGAGUGCUAUGCGCGGGGUCGCGUGACGUGG
rnacentral:pre_miRNA from 1 species